UGGCAGUACCUAAGUCCCUGA
rnacentral:miRNA from 1 species